UCCGGCUUAUCACCGGCAGUUUCCUCAGAGUUCCCAGCAUUACCUGUUGGCAACAGAGGACGAGGGUUGCGCUCGUUGCGGGACUUAACCCAACAUCUCACGACACGAGCUGACGACAGCCAUGCAGCACCUGUGCAUCUCCCACCCGAGGUGAAGGAAUCCAUUUCUGGAAACCAAAGAGAGCAUGUCAAAGCCUGGUAAGGUUCUUCGCGUUGCCUCGAAUUAAACCACAUGUUCCACCGCUUGUGCGGGUCCCCGUCAAUUCCUUUGAGUUUUAGCCUUGCGGCCGUACUCCCCAGGCGGGGCGCUUAAUGCGUUAGCUACGGCACGGAUCCCGUGGAAGGAAACCCACACCUAGCGCCCACCGUUUACGGCGUGGACUAC
rnacentral:misc_RNA from 1 species